UACGGAGGGUGCGAGCGUUACCCGGAUUUACUGGGUGUAAAGGGCGUGUAGGCGGUCUCUCAAGUCCGAUGCUAAAGACCGAAGCUCAACUUCGGGGUGCGUUGGAUACUGUGAGGCUAGACGGUCGGAGAGGGUAGCGGAAUUUCCGGAGUAGCGGUGAAAUGCGCAGAUACCGGAAGGAACGCCAAUAGCGAAAGCAGCUACCUGGACGAUUGGUGACGCUGAGGCGCGAAAGCGUGGGGAGCAAACAGG
rnacentral:rRNA from 1 species